GACGAACGCUGGCGGCGUGCCUAAUACAUGCAAGUAGAACGCUGAAGGAGGAGCUUGCUUCUCUGGAUGAGUUGCGAACGGGUGAGUAACGCGUAGGUAACCUGCCUGGUAGCGGGGGAUAACUAUUGGAAACGAUAGCUAAUACCGCAUAAUAGUAGAUGUUGCAUGACAUUUGUUUAAAAGGUGCAAUUGCAUCACUACCAGAUGGACCUGCGUUGUAUUAGCUAGUUGGUGGGGUAACGGCUCACCAAGGCGACGAUACAUAGCCGGCCUGAGAGGGUGGACGGGCAACAUGGGAACGAGACAAGGCCCAGGACCCUAAGGGGAGGAGCAGGAGGGAAUUUUCGGCAAUUGAGCGAAGGCUGACCGGAGAACGGCGCGGGGGGGAAGGAGGUUUUCGGAUCGUAAAGCUCUGUUGUAAGGGAAGAACGAGUGUGGGAGGUGAAAGUGCACACUGUGACGGUAUCUAACCAGAAAGCGACGGCUAACUACGUG
rnacentral:rRNA from 1 species